GGUGCCAUAGCUCAGUUGGUAGAGCAAAGGACUGAAAAUCCUUGUGUCCCCGGUUGGCACCA
rnacentral:tRNA from 1 species